rnacentral:lncRNA from 1 species
UGGCUUGGAUGCCACGUGCACCCAUGCAUGCUUAUCAACAAAUUAGGUGGGCAUUGCCUAAUUUGUUUACUUCUCUCUUUGUUCGACCGAAGCAAAGAGCUCGGUGGAGGUAGCCGCGAGCACGAGUUCGACGCCAACGACGCGCCGCGAAGCCGUUCGAGGGUACGGUUGGGAUCGUAGCGCUGCGAGGAAGCUAGGCGAGGGUGUGUUUUCGCCGUUCUCGACGCCGCGUCAAUGUCCGAUUAGCCUUUGAGGUGAGUGUUCCGUUGCAUUGCUUCAAGUAUUAUUAUUUCGAGCUUGGUGCUGAUUUGCAGAAUUUCCAGCGUCGACCGUCGGUAUUUCAGUUCGUACUCGGCGUAGGAGCGUCGGGUUUCGACGGGACUUGGUUCGUUGGAUUUGGGACUUCGAGAGGAAUCCACGAAGCCCUUACUUGCUGGAUUUGGUAAAGGUUUGCUAGGUCGGAAUUUCGCUCCUCUCUGUUGCUGUUUUUGGAGGCAGAAUUAAUGUUUAUUGUCGGAUUCUCCGUGUAGAGUUUAGCGGGAGCUUGACUUCGGGGCCUUUGGAGGUUUUCGGACGUUUCGGCAAGUUGUUCCGCAGCCGAGGGGAGUUCCGUGCUGCCAGGGAUUAGCGAUCGAGGUGGGUUACAUCGGUUUAUUCCUAAGUAUUAUAGUAGUCGACAUGUAUGAUUUCCUGUUUUUGUAAAUCAUGUGGUAGCUCAAUUUCGUCGAUUGUAUAAUGAAUGAAAUUAGCUUGAGGGCAUGACUUGUAACUAUAAAUAUACAUGUUGGACUUAGAAUUAAACUUAGGAGAAAACCAACGUUCGGGACCUGGCAUAUGUUAAACUACCUGAUUUAGCCUAGGGGCCGUUGUAUUAUUUUAUACUGUUGCAGUAUCCUCAUAGUGAGUAUUCCAGGUAGUUUAGUUUUUAGUUACGCUCGUGCUGGGAUGCCGAGUGUAUUUUUACAGUAGCGUUCAGGCUGUUCCGGACUGUUGGGUGUCGUCGGAGUUGACGGUGGACUCGUAUCGCCUUUUUGGCGUUAGAUUGUGCCCCGAGGGCACGUUACCUGUUGGUUGUUAGACCAGUUAGAGUAGGUUACUUGACUUAGCCUGUGAGAGCAGUAUGAACUUGACAGAGAUACUUGUAAACUCGUUGGGUCGCGCCCACGAAUGCCAUUCCGGAAUGAGGUUUCAGUGCGAUGAGUGUCGCAGUUUCUGUUGGACAGUUCUUGAGCCGGCUACCCUCGGGGUGGUGUACGGCGCAGCUAGAUACAGGCAGGGUGGGUCCGUUUUGGGCAGCCCGGAUAAGAUAGUGAGUGACGCUUUUCCCUACCUUUGGUGAGGUUGUGACGUGAGUGGAGUCUUAGCCGUCCUAUUGGACCUUUUCUGGAACCGACUACUCUUGUGAUAUGGUGUAGUCUAAUUAGGCGAGACGGGUGUAUUCACAGUCUUCAGAGAGUUUUCUCCGCCGGUUACUCUUGAGAUACGGUGUAGUCUAGUAGACGAGACGGGUGUAUUCACAGUCUCUAGAGAGUCUUCUCCGCCGGUUACUCUCGAGCUACGGUGUCACCUAAUUAGACGGGAUGGGUGUAUUCACAGUCCCUAGAGAGUUUUCUCCACCAGCUACUUUUGGAGUAGGUUACGGGUUCGAUCCGACAGGCGAGACGGGUGUGUUCAUAGUCCCUAGUGAGAUUGAGUUAGUUGUGACUUUUACUACAGUUGGUUAGUGUAGAUCAUGCUAGUGUAGCGAUAUGUAGCGGUAGAUUUCUUUCCAGCUUUUCCUGCUAGCCUUGUUACCUUCUGUAGACUUAGUGGGUGGACCGAUGAUUGUUGAGGGCGGCACCCACUGAGGACUACUUGUUUCUACAGUAGUUCUCACGCCCAGUUGUUACUCCGUUUUUACAGAGUCUUCGUAUUCGGCUGCUGCUGUUGUUGGUCAGGAGCUAGGCAAGGGCAUCACGAGUUAGAGCCCUACCCGAGGAGCAGAGCUAGAGGCACCCCUACUGCAGGUAGAUGUUUUGGUUUGGGUUCAUGUACAUACAGACUUUUAACUCGCCAACGC